CUUACAAUAAAUAAAGUAAGAGAUUUUCACAAAUUAAUUUAUUGAUUGACGAAUUCAUUGACUGAUAUUCUGUUUAUUGUUAAUAAAUUAUUCUUAAUUAAUAUUUAUUUUCUCACGAAAGAUUUUGUAAAAAAAAUUUCCUCUUUACGAAUAUUAUUUACAUUUACUGUAUAUAUUUUUCAAAUUUGACACGACGUCUGUACGUUAUCCCUUUAUCAUUAUAUGUUCUUGUAAUUAAAAAAUGAGAAAUGCUACAAAAAUAGUUCCUUGUCACUAUUUAACAAUUGAUGUUAAUUUUCAUAUUUCGUAAUCAAAAACCAACUAAUUUAAAUCAUAAUCACUAUAAUUGUUUUUUUUUAAGGUAAAGAAUAUUAACUUAUUUUUAUUUUUAUUCACAUUAUUAUUCAUAUGUAAGACAAAAUAUAUAUGUAUAUUUACAUAUGUAUAAGUGUAUAUUUAUUUAUAUAUUUUUUAUAUACACAUAGAGAAAGUACUCUUUAUUUAAGGGGAUACUAAUAUUACCAAUGUCGUUUAAAUAAACGCAUCAAAUAUAAAUAAUUAUACUAGUACCGUUUGAAUAGACGCAUCGGGAAUUAUUAAUUUUAUCAGUACCGUUUAAAUAGACGCUUAACUCGGGUAUUAUUUAUCUUACCAAUAUCGUCUAAAUAAACGUAUCUAAUUUUGUUAAUUUUACCAUCGUCUAAACAUACAUACAGGUAUUAUAUAUGUCACGAAUUAUUGAUUAGCAAUAGAGCGACAAUCGAUAUAUCACGGAAUUUUUUCGAUAUAGAGACAAUCGAAAGUGAUCAUAUUAGCAGCAUGGCUUAGGUGGCUGUAUUAACAAAAUCCUAUGUCGUUGUUUAACUUUGUAUAACUCGUAAUGUGUACAGUCGAAUAAAAAGUUAACUAACCAAAAAAUACUCUAAUGUACAUACAUUUGUGUGAUAACGCGUUUAAGUUUAUAAAAAAUGAGGAAGUAUAUAUAAUUAAAUGUUAAAAUGUACCUUAAAAAUAUUUCGAAAUGCUAAUAUAACAGACGUUGGGUAUUGUAUUGCCAUAUUAACGCCAAGCAGACUGCUAAACAAAUAAUUCUAUAAGUGGCAUAAAUAAUUACUACAAUUCGUCAGCUAAUAACGGAGAUAAUACGAGUGUCCAUAUUGUCUACAGUGGCCAUAAUACCACCUUCUGCUCUAUUAUUACUACUAAUAGUGUUAGAUGACACAAAUCGAUUAUGAUAAAGCGCUAUUGUAUUUAUAUAUCGAUUAUUUUAUCAUUUUAACGAAUAACUAUUUCAACUGAAUAAAAUUCAACAGACAAACUGUCAGUUUGCAAUAGGAACUACAAUAAUAAUGAGUAUAGUGACUACAAUAGAACAAGCUAUACGUCCCUUUUUUCUAACUUCUAACAUUCUCGGUCUAGGUGUUCAUACACCGGAAAAACUUUAUUUAAAUAUUUUUUAUAAUGUGACAUUGUGGAGCACUUGCACUUAUCUUUACCAUUAUGUUAUGAUUAUAUUUCAACAAGAAUACUGGGAUCUAAUAACUCCUAUUCUACUCAACAAUGCGAUUAACGUUCUCAUGAGUAUUAUAUCCAUGAUUAUAAGUUUAUAUCAAUACAAGAGAUUGCGAAUGUUCAUAAAAAGACUUGCUACAGUGGAUGAUACAUUGGAAGACUUAGGUACUCCUAAAGUAUAUCAAAAAUUACAUGUAUAUAUAAAAAGAAUAUUAAUAGGAUGGCUUGUAUAUAGUCUAAUAAUCAGUAUAGGUGAUAUGAUGUGGUGGUUUGAAACUACAAACGAUCUUUGGUGCAUAAUUUUACCUUAUGUUAUGAACUGUUUUUCAUAUAUCAACUUGUUUGUGGAUUUAGUGUUUACUACUUAUCUAUGGUUUGUAUAUUAAUUGAGAUAUUUAUGUAUAUUGCACAACAUUUUAAUCAAUAUAUACUUUAAAAAAUUUGUUAACGUAUGCAGCACGUAAUACUUUUGAGAGAAUUUCAUACUUUUUUAAUCAAAAUAAUUUAGAAAAAGGUUACCGAUUCUUACAUACAUAUCACUUUGUUUUUGAAUAAUAUUUUUUAAACAAAUGUUAAAAGUAUAACUUUAAAAACAUAAAUUAGAAAAUGUUAAAUAGUAUACCACUUUUUAUAAUAAUGUUUCAUAUUUUCUGAUAAUUAAUGUUUUCGCAACAAUCACAAUUUAUAUCUGAGAAUUUAGAUCCUAAAAUUAAUAUAAUAACUGCCUAUAAGUACUUUCUUUUUCUUUUCCUUUAACAUGAGUCAAAAUAUUUGUACAAAAUAUUUACAAGUUAAUGUUUAAGUAUUCUUAGAAGCCUUUCAUUUCGAUGUAAAACGUUUUUUGUGAAUUGUACAAAAACUUUAUGGCUUAUACUGUUUCGCAAUGUAGUACAAUUAUAUAUAAAUUUCUAUUUAAAAAUAUCUAAAUGUAUAAUCUAAGGGUUUUUUAUUUCCUUAAUUAUCUAGCCCUUAUUUAAUACUGAACAGUAAUUUGGAGUUAAAUUGGCUAAUAAUAUUUAUUUUAAGUAUUAAAACCACUGUUGUUAGUAUUCUCACUCCUUAAAAUAAAUAAUAAUUACUAGUCAAUUUAAUACUGCCCAGUAUUGCAUUUUUAUAUUAAAAAAAAAACAGAUCAUGUUUUUGUCAAUACCUACAUGAAAAAAAAAUAAAUGCAGCAACAAGAAUUUGUAUGUAGCUAAAUUUCGGUGUACAACAUAUUUAACUAUUGCAUACAAAUUUUUUUUGUUGCAACUAACUGCAACUAAUUUUUUUUUCGUGUAUUAAUACAGUGCCAUAAUCAGUUUCCGAGAAAAAAAAGGGUCAAACUUGCUCUAAUGAUAAACGUUUCAGAUAGUUAAGUUUAUUAAAAGCGGAGCAUGCAAAGUGUCUAUCAAUUAUUGUCAGCAAAAAGGCUACAAAUUGCACAAAGAAUCUGUAAUAUCAGAAAAUUGCCAUCAAAUAUGACAAAGCUUGCUGAUCAUGUUAACAGAUUAACAGCAGCAAUCGAGUAAAAUUUGCGAUUUUCUACUCGAUUUUUGCUAUCAAAUUUUGUGAGCAGAAUCUGCAAUAAACUAUUGCUGAAAUAACAGAUUUGCUAUCAAGUUUCGAGAAAAUCUAUUGCUAAUUUGCUAACAUUGUGUGCGCAUAUUGCUUAAUUAUUUUAAUACUCCAUAUAUAAUAAUGUUAAAAUUAGUUGGUGUUUAAUAUAACAUUUUGACAAAUGUUAAUAAAUUAUUUUUGUUUAAAAUUUAAGUAACAGGACUAUGUAAGUUUUUAAAGUUCUAUAUCUACUACAGCUUAUUCUCCUUUCCAGGUAUAUUGGCACCAGAUUUGACAAAUUAAAUGAACACAUGAAAAGUUUAUCGUUAAGAGAAGAAUACAAUAUAAAAUAUACACAGAAAAAAACAGUAUGGACCACUCAUCGAUACAUCAUGUGUGUUAACAAUUAUAAGCAUAUUUGGUGGACCAUAAUGCAUCUCUAUUUGGAAUUGUGUAAACUUGCUCGCGAAUUAAACGUAAUGUUUGAAACGCAGAUGACUGUAGAAAUGUUGGCUUGUUUGAUGUAUCUAACAAGAAUAUUUUAUUACAUUUUUCUACACAUGAUAGAUGAUUUAAUAAUAUCGCCAAUAUAUUGGAUUGAAGUUUACUUAUGGCUAUCUUUAUAUGUAAUUAAACUUUUCUGCUUAAAUUAUAUUUGCGAGAGUAUUAGCGCUAAGGUAAAUUCCCACAAAAUUUAUUAUAUACACAUACAUACUGGCGCGUAUGUACACAUACACAUGCAAAAUUUAUGUUUUUAUUUACAUUUAUUGUUUAUAUUUAUUGGAAAUUAUUGAUUUUAGACUAACGAAAUGAAAACAAUAAUUCAACGAUUAACAAAUUUUCUUCAAUAUACUGAUAUUCGUGACGAGGUAUGGUAAAUUUCAAUAAUUAAAGAAUGCUGAAGUAAAUUGUUUAGAUAUAAUGAUUAUUUAAAUAUAUCAAUCAUUUUGUGCAGAUUUACCAGUUUACAUUAUAUAUAAUAUAUCAUCCAUUGAAGUUUUCUGGAUUAGGUCUCUUCUAUUUUGGCUAUAACUUCCUUCAAAAUGUAUGUAUCCAUAUUUAUUCUAUUAAGAUGAUGCUGGAGUAACGGUCAACUUGAUCAAGAUUGAUAAUGUAGAGUUAUUAGUGCAUAUCAUUAAUAAGAUUUCAUAUAUAUUUUUUUUAUACAUUUGGAAAUUCUUCCCACAAUUAAAGUACAUGUAUUGAUAUUAGUUUGUAAAUUGGACUUCAUAUCGAGAACAAAAAAAAAACUUUUUGUUGCUUUAUUUAUCAACUUUUCACGCGCACAUACGCCCAAAAUUUUAUACGAUUUCGUCUCAAUUAGACAUCAACGCUAUUCAUUAAAAAAAAAAAAAUAUAUAUAUACAUAUAUAUAUAUAUAAUUUUUUUUUUA